UUCAUCUCCUAUUAUUAGAGUACACAGCAUCCAUUCACUCCCUAUAGCAGUACCCUAAGCCUAUGAGAUGUCUGCAUCCCUGAGAAUAUGACUAGGAUUUGCCCUUUUGCAUGUGUAAAUACGUGUAUUGUGUACAUAUCAGAGAAAUAGAAAAUAAACCUUUUUUUUUUUCUUAAUAUAAUAUGAAGCUAAUUUUUCUUUGUGUACAAACUAUAUUCAGUACUCACAAAGACAAUUCUUCGCUCCAGGUAAGUGUUUCAUGAUAAUACAGUUCUGUUGGACAUGUACAUACCCUGUGCCAGGGUGACUAACUGGGAGUGUUUACACAUAUCUUCAGCAACCCUAUCAGUCCGUGCUGAAACUCGAGCAUGACCGAGAUGAUAAAGCUCAGGACACUGAGCCACCGCUCAUGUAAGCACUUAAAAAUGUUAUUCAUAGAAGUGAAGGCUACAUGUGCAUGAACGAGCUCUGCAGGAGCAGAGCAGAGUCAAGAGGGCAGAAGGGGAGUUCAGGAAUGGCAACACAGCAAGUCUGGUGUGAGAAGGAUGGGAAGAAACACCAAGAAUGAGGAACACUAAUAUAAGUAAUGGUUUUUCCCAUUUCCUAGUUACUCUUUUGAUUUCUGUUCCUGCAACUGUGUUUGUAUAUUUUUAUUGUUUUAAUCCUGUAACAAACUAGUAUAAACUAGUAUAAAAGGGUCAGUUGAAGGAAACACACAUAUUUUUUAAAGCCAUUUUCUUUUAAGCAUGCCCCUUUCUUCUGUGGAAAUCCAGUUUAUGACACCUGGUCCCUUUCAGGAAGACUAUGGGUCUUUCAUCCUCGUAGCUGGUCUACAAAUUGUUUAGUGAGGAGCAUGACCUAGAAAUGCUAGAACGCAAGUAGGGGAAGAGGAGGGUGUAAAUGUGUUCAGCUCUUUUCCCCAGGAUUGGGAUUGACAAGCAGAGAGAUGGUCUUCACAUUCGGAUUUAGGAUGUUUAUUUUACAUUAUCUAUAUUACAUUUUUACAGAUAGUAAGUACUUCUACACACUAACCUAACAAGCUACAAAUGGCUCGGGCUCUGAUCACAAGGCCUUUUAAACAUAAACUAUCCAAUUAUCAAAUGCCAACUAAUUUAGUUUUACUUUUACCCCAAUAACCAAACACCUGUGUUCCACACUGUGUACUUUUCCUUUCCAAUCACCCAAUACCAGCCAAAUCCAUGAAGAAGAAGGAAGAAAGGCAAAGACAAACCAACACCCAAGAACCUUCAUCUUGUCUCUUAUUCACUACUAUAUCUCAAACUCUAAACUCUAUAUUUUUCACCCAGUGACUUAACAUAACUCUAACUCACACAUUCACAUUCCUAGUUUCUCCACUUAGUUUUAGAAGCCUUCUCCAUGAUUUUAAGCCAAAGCCUUCUCUUGAGCCAGUCAGCACAGAUAAAGAGACAUUUUUUAUGCCUGGGACUCCAACAGAGGGGAAGACACUGAUCUCUUCUCUCUGGUGAGAAGUGAAAGGACCUGAGGGAAUGGCCUGAAGUUGUGUUGGGCAGGUUUAGGUUGGGUAUUAGAAACAGGUUCCUUCCCCA
ensembl:lncRNA